AAGGCAAUGAAGAAAAAUGAAGUCGUUGGUCAUUUUGUCUGGAAGGCUUAGAUCGGUGUCUUUAAAACUUUAUCCCUAAACACAGAUCUGGUUUCAAAUCAAGGGUGAUUGGAUGAGGACAGUGGGCAGGAAAUGAAGCCGUAGUGCUAGUUAGUAAAGGACUUAUUCCUGAUUGCUUUCUGAAUCCACAACUAUUUGUCUUUUUACAUUUUCUUGUAUGUCAAAAUGUCUUUAUGUAUUCACUAAAGGAACUGGAGAGAUGGCUCAUUUGGAAAACUACUUGCAAACCAAGCAUAAGGACCUAGAUUCCGAUCCCUAGCACCCACAGAAAAAGCCAGGCAUGGUGGAGUGUGCCUGUGUUCCCAGUGUUGGGAGAGUCAGGAGGGCUCCUGAUGUGUGUUGGCCAGUUAUUCUUAGAACUCUGUAUGGACCAGGCUCAGUGAGAAAGCCUGUCUCAAACAGUAAGGUGGAAAUUGACAGAGGAAGACAUCUGACCGUCACAUGCCAGUGUACUAUAGCACACCCAUGCAAAUAUACACAGAGCCUCACCAGACUAGGUCCUGUUUCUCUCUUUUCUAAAAUCACAACUCCUUAGAUUUUCUCUGAUUUGGAAACCCCAGAAUAUUGAAGCAGUACAUUGCAGUAUAUCAGAGAGAAAGGUUGAGAUAUUUGCUACAUGGAUGGGUCUACAAAAUAAUAUAUAAGCAUAAUAUUAUAAUUAUAUAUUACAUAUAAAAUAAUAUCUUAUAUAUAUUAUGCACACACACAAUCAUACAUACACACACACAAGAUAUAGGCCAUGAAUGUAGAAGAGAUCGGGGAACUAUAUACAGAAGGGAUUGGAGAGAGAAAAAAAAGGGAAAUAAUGCAAUUGUAUUAUAAUUUCAAAAAAUUUAAAUUAAAAAACAGAAAAUUGUUACAAAAACAAGCCAAAAAUAACUCAUUUAACCUGAGAGAGCUCAUCUUGUAGGUCUAGAUGAAGAGGUAGCAGACACACAGACUUUAGCAGUAAAUGUAGGCGCACAGAGACUGUAGGUGCACAGAGACUGUAGGCGCACAGACAGGGUGGGCGCACAGACAGGGUGGGCGCACAGACAGUGUAGGCGCACAGACAGUGUAGGCGCACAGCGUAGGCACACAGACAUUUGCUGACUGGAGACAAUGAAGACAGCACCUAAGUUGUUCAGUGCAGACAUUGUUUCAGUAUAUUCAUUUCCCAUAAGGCAUUUUAAUAACUUUAAACCGUGACAAUAACAAAUUCAAAUUUUGGAAAGUACUCUCCAAUAUAGUAGGAAAAUGGAAUUUUUUUAUUGCUAACAUUUGAACUUUCACAAAGACAAUCCACAAUUAGAAAAUAUUUUAUCUAACACCUUUAUAAAAAGGUGUUAUUUUUUAUAUAUUUAUGUAUAUGAGUGCUAUUUGCAUGUAUGCCUGCAUGACAGAAGAGGGCAUCAGAUCCUAUUACAGAUGGUUGUGAGCCACCACGUGGUUGUUGGGUAUUGAACUCAGGACCUCUGCAAAUGAAGCCAGUGCUCUUAACUGCUGAGCCAUCUGUCCAGCCCUUUAUUUAACACUUUAAUGUACCUCAGAUAUUUCUUUCAAUUUGGAAUAAUUGACAAAUUCAGUGGAUAAAUUGAUAAAAUAUAUGUGUAAUUUUAUUUUUAAUCCCAUUUUAGUCAGCUUACAUUUUGUUACCAAUGUUUAAACAUCAUAUUUUUGUGGGAAGUCAUGUUAGAAAAAAUUUGGAGUUGAGACUAUCAAUUUACCUAAAAUCAACUGCAGUGAAAUUGUAGUAGAAGCUU
rnacentral:lncRNA from 1 species